UUAAAAGGUUGCUAUCUUCCAUUGUCUCUACUAGGACAGAAGCUACAAACUGCUCACAUUUUGAGGGGGAAAAAGAGCAUCCAACUCUGCCAUUUUUCCUGGCCAUUUUGAAAGAAGAUAUUUUUUGUUUCUCUGAAGGAGAAGAGUUUGUAUAGCAACCUAUACAGAAAGACACCAAAAACUAAGAAGAGUAUCAUUUAUUGCUACUUUUUAGAAAUAUCUUAUCGGUGGCUGACUAGUUAAAUCUUCACAGCUGGAUCAGCUGCAAGUGAGGUGCCCGCAAUACCUCCUGCGCCAGCCUCCCAACCCCGUGAGAGCCACUGCUGCAGACAAGUCCAUGAGGACCGGGAACAGGAACACAUUACCUGCUUACAUUGCCUCCAGCAGUCUCUGGAGCAGCAGGAGCAGCCAGUGGGAAGUGGACCAGGAGCUGCACUGCAACACCUGGGGGCACCUGGCCCAAGAUACCUGCAGCAUCUGUGCGGCAUACACAGUAACUGUCAACUGCAUGCUCGCAGCUAAUGAGCAAUCCAGCAGCCAUCCUCCCACUCCCAUCCCAACUCCUGCCCCCACCCCAGCUCCUGCCCCAGCUUCCACCCCAGUGGCUUCCCUCCCCAGCCACCUCCAGGGCUGCCAACAGCCUCACAUGCAAUAUGGUGGGACCACCUGAGGCAGGCACCAAUCCCAUCCCAAUCCCCGAGUCUCCACUCCCCCUCUUCCCACUCAGGUUCUUACCCCAAUUCCUCCCCAGUUUUCUGUAACACAAUUUGAAAAACAACAACAGAGUUUAUUGGUUCAAAACAAAAGGUCUUGUUUAUUUUAUCAGCAGGAGAGGGGGGAAAGUAGAGUUAGAGGAAAGGCACAGAGGGGCAAUGCAUAGGCCCCUUCUGGGGAGGCCCGGGGAGAGUCUCAUAGGUGUACUUGGCUGAAAGUCUCCCUCAUAGCCACCCGGAUGUGUACAGCCCCCUGAUGGGUCGACAUGAUGGCAGCUAUGCAUGGCUAUUGAAAGGCCCUGGUGAGCCCCUCAGUCUCUGUCCUCCAUCCUGGCAGGAACAUCUCCCCCUGGUUCUCACAAAUACUGUGGAGGAUGCAGCAUGCCGCCACUAUUUGGGGGAUGUUCUAUUCACCGUGAUCCAGGGGGGGGUGAGGAGGCAGUGGUAGACAAUAUUCCUUUGAGAUGCACAAAGGCACCCUCCAUCACUAUGUGGGCCCUAAGCCUGGCAUUAAACUGUUCCUUGGUGGGGUCCAGGUGGCCAGUGUGGGGCUUCAUCAGCCAUCAGAGGGUAGGCUGCAUCCCCCACAAUGCAUAUCAGCAUGUCUAUAUCCCCGACCCUGAUGGUGCAGUAGGGGAAAAUAGUGCUGGCGUGCAACUUCUGGAACAGGCUGGAGUUGUGGAAGAUGCAGGCAUUGUGCUCCUUCCCCGAUCACCCGAUGUUGAUGUACCCCUUCUGGGUUGGGGACCCAGAUGGAGAGGUGCACCCUACCUCCCACCCAGACCUCACACCGUCAGCCCCUCUUGCACCGCCAUCCCUAGCCCACUCACUGGCAGCCCUGUGCCACACACUGAACCCCUCAUUUUUAUCCCAUCCCAGAGCCUA